UUUUUUUAUUCUGUUAUCUGACUUCUCAUUUUAAACAUUCAAAUAUAAUUUUAAUUUAUUUAUUGGUUAUGGGCCAAGUGUAGCGACAGAAUUUGUGAACUACAAAGAAAAUUUAGUCAAAAAUGGAAGAUUUUAAAUCCUGUACCAAAAAUUGAAUGGAGAGAAUUAUCAAAUCUGGAAGUAUAAAUUGGAGCUUUUGCUAAUGAAAGAGGAUUUGUGGGAUACAAUCUUUUGUGAAAAACCGGACAAUGCACCAGCACCAUGGAUAUGGCAAAUGGUAAGAAAAUCAAGGCUCAAGGUUCAGCUGAAGGAUUUCUAUCUUGAUAUGUUAAUAAAGUGACCAUCAAAAAUGUGCUGUAUGUUCCGGAACUAGAAGGUAAUCAGUGUCCACAUUUUUAAUGAAAAACGAAUCCUAGUAACUGCGAUACAUCUGAAAAACUUAUACGUACUGGAGUAAGACCAACAUUCAAAUUUUGCAACCAAUAAAGCAGUUGAAUGUAUUCAUACAUUUAAUCGUAGAUCGUGACGUUAACGCCUUAAAGUUCGCCAUUAAAGAAAAUUUGAUUGGAAAUGUCAAAUUGAAACCCUGCAAUUGUUCAGAUAAUUGCGGAUCGUGUUUGAAGGGAAAAAUUUCAAGACAGAAAUUUUCCAAAAUUACUCAAAACAUAGCGAAUGAGAUUUUGGAUCUAGUUCUUGCUGAUUUGUGCGGACCUAUGCAAUAAACAAAACCAAGCGGAAACAAAUAUUUACUGUCUAUGAUUGGUUUUCAUACAAGGUAAUGUAUGUAUUUUUCAGCAGCUAAGGAUCAAUCAUUUGAGAAAAUCAAUGAAUUCGUAGAAAAUACUGACAAUUUUUUCGGAAAGGGAGUAAAGAUUCUAAGAACUGACAGAGGUAGAGAAUUCAAAAGUACACCGGAGCAAAAUGGUGUCGCUGAGCGAAAGAACAGUAGUUUGGUUGAAAUAGCUAGGACUACGCUCAUACAUGUGGGACUACAGGUAAAGUACUUGGCUGAAGCUAUCAUUGCGGCUAAUUAUUUUCAAAGCCGUCUGCCCUCUAAAGCUGUUAGUAAAACGCCCUACGGUAUAAACCUUCUACCAUAUAAAAAAAAGCUUUUGCCAGAAAUUUGAUGAAGUACCCAAAACGUGUAUAUUUCUGAAAAAUCGAAAGGUUAUCGAAUUUUAGACCCAGAUACAAGCAAAGUUACAAUAUCAAGGGAAGUAAAAUUUUUGGAUGAAGUUUGUCAAGUUAUACUGGAGUGUAACGAGGUGCCGCUUGCGUUAUCACAAUCAGAUCAGCAAAACAUUAUGGUAACAGAUGAACCAAGUCAAGAUGACAGUGAAGACUAUAAUACAGCUGAUGAAGUUCAAGAGAUAGAAGAAAAUAAUUUUUUGGUGGAAGAUUCAUCGACUGAUAUUGAUUGGAAACUAAUGCAAUCGAGCAAACGAACAAUAAAGACGAACAAUUGGAUCUUGUCAAAUAAUAUAAGAACUUGUCAAAUAAUACAAGACCUGACUUAACUGUCGCGACAUCAAUUUAAGUCGAAAAGCAAACUAGAAUGACUAGAAUUCCAACGCGGAGGCGGCACAAUAUCAUAGGCAAGUCCUAAGCAGAAUCUUAAACUUCAAGGAUCUUAAACUUCAAGCUAAUGAUGUCUGUAUGAAAGGAGAUAACCAAAGCUGCCUCAAACUAUUAGAUGGGGCGAAAAUAAAUUCACGUACAAAGCACAUUGAUGUGACAUAUUAUAUUGUUCGAGAACUUAUACAAUCUAAGGAAGUGAUCUUUAAAUACUGUACAAGUAACGAAAUGUUAGCAGAAAGCCGCUACAGCACAUCGUAUAGAAAUAACGAAAUUCAAUAAUAUGAUUGGGCAUAUUUUGGGGAAUAUUGUUCUAUUUGUAGUAGAAUCACUUUUUAGAAAAGAACUAAGUUUCAGUCACAUUAUCUAUGAAAUUGUAAUUGAAUUUUUUUAUACAUAUUGUUUUAUUCUGUUAUCUGACUUCUCAUUUCAAACAUUCAAAUAUAAUUUUCCUUUUUUAUAUUAUUCAUAAA